AAACAUACACAUAAAUGAAAACUGAUUAAGGUGGUUUACCCAAUAACACGUAUCACAACGUCAUAACAUAGAGCUAUCCUAAUCAAAGUGUUUUGCAGCGGAAAACGUGUGAGAUAUACAUAUGAAGAUGUAUACUCAAGGUUACAUUUCUUGAAAUAAUCAAAGGAACACCCGCUCAACAUCAUUCCAUUCCAUCAGCUGCUCAACCUGCACAUUUAGAAAUACAUGCAGGGCUGAGUAUAAAAAUACUCAGUGGGCACGUAUGCCUAAGUAUAAAAAUACAUGCUUCAAAACUAUAAAUUGUCAUGCCAUCAUAAUCAGUACAGCAAGGGAGUUUUUCGCUAAAAAGGCCCAAGCUUACUAAGUUCAUUUGUGAUUCUUAAAGUUCGUCUGAUCAGACUAAGUUCUUUUGUAAUCUAUCAUAUCUGAAACUGUGUGCCGGAGAGGUGGCCACCUCUCACGGUCACUUGACCGGCCAACCCGCUAGAUGACUCACGGUCACUGGUGUACACUAGUCCUGGCAGGAUAGCUAUCAACUGCUCAGGACCCGAAUUCGAUUGCAUCAUUGGCAAAGCCAAAGCAGAUAGAUAUCAUACUAAAAUUUAAACAUUUUAUGGCAAGACAAUACUUGAAAUAACUUUAACUCAAAGAUUUUGUCAUGAAAUAACUUGCUUGAACGUAACAUUUAAACUCAUUUGAUAUAUAUAUGAAACUGAAAUUAACAGUCAGAUCAUCUCAUGCAUUCAUUCGUAUAAGAGGCCUACGACACGCAGGGGAUCUCUAUAUACGUAUAGUAAAAGUAAUGCCCACCUGGAUAGACAAAGCUUGAAGAUCAUAAUCACAUAAACUCGUCUUGGGAAAGCAGCGCUAAUCCCCUUGGUUCAUAAAGCCUACAAGAAAUUCUAUUCUUAAUAGAUCUCGUGAAGCUAACUUAAAGUCUUAGUGGAUGUACUAAACAUACUUGAUUCAUCACGCCGGGUUUCCAAAAUUUAGUAAAUAAAUAAUUAAAAACUAAAUUCUUGAGUUAAGGACACCAACAAUACCCUUGCUUGACUUUUCAUAAAACUUUUUAACUUGAAAAUAAAUUCGAUGCACAAAUAUUUCUUUCAAAGGCAUAAUAUAAUCUCAUCACUUCGUUAUAUCUCAUAGCAUAUAAUUCACGUAAUUUGUAUGCACAUAAAAUCUAUGAUGAAAUUCGCAUGAUCAAUAUUUAAACGAGCUCAAUUAAAUAGGCCCAUAUUAGUAUUUAAAGAUGCAGCUCUAUUUCUGUAAAUAAAUUUAGUCCAGCUAGAUCAAUAAAUGGACAGCCCAAAUUAAUAAAUAAAAUGUAAUCUAAAUAAGUCCAUAUCUUAUCUCAGUUGAAAGUCCAAGACAUAAUAGUCCAAGCCCACUUCCCUUUUCUUUUCUCCCUCUCUCUCUCAGCAUUCUCUCUCUCUCACCACUCCCAUCGGUCUCCCUCUCUCCUUCUCGCCACUCUCUCUCCCUUCCUCUCAUCUCACGCCGCCGCCGCUGCCUACAAAUUCGCCGGCGCGUCGCCGGCGUACCACCGCCGCCCUCAUCUCUCUCUGUCUUUCUCUUUCUCCCUCUAAAUUUCCGGCGACAGCCACCACCACCACCGUUGCCAAUCCAGCCCCUGUUCACAGAUCUCUCUCUAACUCACAACCAUGGUCAAGACUCACACACCCACAAAUCGAAACGGUCACCGGGAACCAUCUCCUUUCCCAUCUCCCUCGAUCUACCUUUCUUUCCACCUCCGGCACCAACGACUCCUCACCGCCGAUGUGCCUGUACUCCCUCAUCUCUCACCGCCUCUGUCUCCCUCUCGGAUUCAGGCUCGCCGAGCCCCUGCUCAACUCACCGUCUGCACUCUCCGGCAACCGCAGCGGUGCCACGGCCGCCGCCCUCUUCCCCUGCCUAAAUCAGCCACCACCGCCGUCCGUCGACCCUCUCCAGACCCGGCUUACACACCCAACAAACAUAUAGCAUUCUUCUUCUUCUUCUCUUCUAUUUACUAGUACAGUUUUUCUUAAAAGCAUUUAUGUAAAUGUAAAACUUGUGAAAAGUUAUUCCAAAAAUUCAUGUAUGUUUUUCUUUAACAUGGGCUGAUUUAGUAAAAUAUACAUAAGCUUAUAUAUAUAUAUAUAUACACACACACACGAACAUAUGAAAGAUGAAAGCUAAUAUAUCUGAAAUUGUAUGCUUAUAGCUGGAAUAAAAAUCUGUGAAAAAAUUAGUGGGGUAAAACCUUGAAUCGGUGAUUGUGGUGCUCUGAACUUGAACUCUAUGUGCUCAUGUUUGACUGAUGAAGUUAUGAAGCUUCAACUCUCUCUUUAAAAAAAAUGAAAGUGUA
rnacentral:lncRNA from 1 species